UACAGAGGUCUCAAGCGUUGUUCGGAAUUACUGGGCGUAAAGGGUGCGCAGGCCGCGCGGGCAGUCAAUUGUGUAAUUCAGGGGCUCAACCUCUGGACUGCGCUUGAUACUUCCGCGCUCGAGCUUUGGAGAGGAGUCUGGAAUUCUCGGUGUAGCAGUGAAAUGCGUGGAUAUCGAGAAGAACACUUAGGGCGAAGGCAAGACUCUGGACAAAUGCUGACGCUCAUGCACGAAGGCUAGGGUAGCGAACGGG
rnacentral:rRNA from 1 species